AUGACUGAUCUUGGUACUCUUCAUCACUUUUUGGGCAUUGCUGUUCUUCGUGAUUCUUCUAGCCUUUUUCUUUCCCAAUGUCAGUAUACUCUUGAUCUUCCUAAUUGUGCUGAAAUGCUUGACUGUCAGUCCUCUCGCACCCAUGUUGAUACCAGUUUCAAACUAUCCGCUGACGGUCAACCUUUCCAUGAUCCUACUCUGUAUCGUAGUCUAACCGAGACUCUCCAAUAUCUCACUAUCACUCGUCCUGAAAUUUCCUUUGUUGUUCAACAAGCAUGUCUCCAUAUGCUUCCGCGUUAUAAUCAUGUCAAACGUGUUCUUAGUUGGUUGAGCACAUCUUUAUUCUCUUGUGAAUACAUCUGGGACAACGCUUCACAUCAGUCAGGUAUAUACUGCUUCAGUUUUGAGUGA
rnacentral:rRNA from 1 species